CUACGGGAUGCACCAGUGGGGAAUAUUGCGCAAUGGGCGCAAGCCUGAUGCAGCCAUGCCGCGUGUAUGAAGAAGGCCUUCGGGUUGUAAAGUACUUUCAGCGGGGAGGAAGGGAGUAAAGUUAAUACCUUUGCUCAUUGACGUUACCCGCAGAAGAAGCACCGGCUAACUCACGUGCCAGCAGCCGCGGUAAUACGGAGGGUGCAAGCGUUAAUCGGAAUUACUGGGCGUAAAGCGCACGCAGGCGGUUUGUUAAGUCAGAUGUGAAAUCCCCGGGCUCAACCUGGGAACUGCAUCUGAUACUGGCAAGCUUGAGUCUCGUAGAGGGGGGUAGAAUUCCAGGUGUAGCGGUGAAAUGCGUAGAGAUCUGGAGGAAUACCGGUGGCGAAGGCGGCCCCCUGGACGAAGACUGACGCUCAGGUGCGAAAGCGUGGGGAGCAAACAGGAUUAGAUACCCCAGUAGUC
rnacentral:rRNA from 1 species